UACGUAGGGUGCAAGCGUUGUCCGGAAUUAUUGGGCGUAAAGAGCUUGUAGGCGGUUUGGCGCGUCUGCUGUGAAAUUUCGGGGCUCAACCCCGAACUUGCAGUGGGUACGGGCAGACUAGAGUGUGGUAGGGGAGACUGGAAUUCCUGGUGUAGCGGUGAAAUGCGCAGAUAUCAGGAGGAACACCGAUGGCGAAGGCAGGUCUCUGGGCCAUAACUGACGCUGAGAAGCGAAAGCAUGGGGAGCGAACAGG
rnacentral:rRNA from 1 species